rnacentral:lncRNA from 1 species
CAGUCUUGGUGGCUGUAAUUGUAAAGAUACGAUUCGAUGCAUUUUUACAGCAGCUAAUAAUCAAGUUUGGCCGUUUUUCAGUUUCAACGGCCGAAUAGGAAAACAGUUAUUUGAUAGGUUUUUGUUCUGCCAAUUACAAUGAAUCGUCAGGUAUACAAAUGGAAGUGAAUGGCAGCAAUAUGCGGGAAGUUCACCUAUUUUUUUUUUUUUUUUUGUCAGCUGCUGCAGAAGCUAUUGACCCACCAUCUGCAUUUGUAAGUUAGGUGAAUCUAGCGCAUAUUUUAUCAACUGGCAGCAUGCAUUUUGAAAAUGGUUCGUAGAACUUACAAUCCUUUAGUAAAUUUUUCACAUUAAGAUUUCUCAUUCUCUAAAAAAGAAGAAGUUAGAGAGGUGUUAAAGCACGCUCCUAGUCGACCAGGUAGAGUUAACUAAGAG